GUAUGUGAGGGCAAUCUGGCUGUGAGAUCUGUCACCUCAUGGGUUUCCAGGGCUGAUGUGGCUGAUCUGGCUGCCUAGGUGAGUGUCCCUUCCUCUUUUCACCACUCCAUGUGCAUCCUUCCCAUAGCUGCGUGCUUGGUCUAAGAGGAUGACCUUCUCUUUUUUUUUUUUAAGAUUUCAUUUAUUUAUUUGACAGAGAGAGAGAGACAGCCAGCGAGAGAGGGAACACAAGUAGGGGGAGUGAGAGAGGAAGAACCAGGCUCCCAGCGGAGCAGGGAGCCCAAUGCGGGGCUCCAUCCCAGGACUCUGGGAUCACACAUUGAGCCAAAGGCAGAUGCUUAAUGACUGAGCCACCCAGGCGCCCCAAGGAUGACCUUCUCUGAGAGAAGAGUACGAGUAGCUAUGCUCCCCUGCUAGAACCUCCAAGUACGAGUAGCUAUGCUCCCCUGCUAGUACCUCCAAACAAGCUCUGGACGCCCAUUUGUAAGAGAACAUAGGGUAGUCAAGCUUCCAAGACUCCAGACACAUCCAAAUGAGGCACUGCAUAUGGGAGUCUGCCUUUCCUU
rnacentral:snRNA from 1 species